rnacentral:rRNA from 1 species
AUUGAACGCUGGCGGCAGGCCUGACACAUGCAAGUCGAGCGGAUGAAGGGAGCUUGCUCCUGGAUUCAGCGGCGGACGGGUGAGUAAUGCCUAGGAAUCUGCCUGGUAGUGGGGGAUAACGUCUGGAAACGGGCGCUAAUACCGCAUACGUCCUGAGGGAGAAAGUGGGGGAUCUUCGGACCUCACGCUAUCAGAUGAGCCUAGGUCGGAUUAGCUAGUUGGUGGGGUAAAGGCCUACCAAGGCGACGAUCCGUAACUGGUCUGAGAGGAUGAUCAGUCACACUGGAACUGAGACACGGUCCAGACUCCUACGGGAGGCAGCAGUGGGGAAUAUUGGACAAUGGGCGAAAGCCUGAUCCAGCCAUGCCGCGUGUGUGAAGAAGGUCUUCGGAUUGUAAAGCACUUUAAGUUGGGAGGAAGGGCAGUAAGUUAAUACCUUGCUGUUUUGACGUUACCAACAGAAUAAGCACCGGCUAACUUCGUG